AGUCCUUGCGGAAAUCUGAAAGUAAAAUGUUACUAUAUUUGGAUCGUCCAAUAGAAAGCCUCGUCACAACGCGACGCGUUGAAUUUAUAAAUGAAAGAUGUUGAGAGCCUGUAGUCUACAAAAUCACCUUUUGACAAUUUUCGAAUAUUUCUCCCUUUUAUCUAUGGUACAGGUGAGGUACCUCCGAUCUGACCGUGUCCAAUAAGUCAUGAUGCACAACUGAACAGUACCCCCCUUAGCAAGUAAGUUGGGGAUUUUUUUCGUUACUGUCUUGCAGCAAAAGUGGUAAUUAUUGUUUUUUUAUUUUUUAAAUUCUGCCGUCCUUUGCAGGUCAUCCCAGCUCCCAUGUUUUUUUGUUUAGACAAAAUUGUGACAGGAGAGGUUGUCUGCGUUGAUGGUGGUGGGUGGCUUUCAGUGCUGAAAUGAAUGCCUUUAGUUUUGAAAUUGAAGUUUUUUAUUUACUAACUACUGUGUUGUUUAUGGAAACCUGUGGUGAUCUGUCGUCUGCCCUGAGAGUUGUCUUACUUUGUCUGGUUUGGUUCACUGCGUUGAAAAAAAUGUCAGGAAAUAUCUUUAAUAACGUCUAGUUACCAUGUGUCUCAAUUGGUAAUUAUGUAAUAAAUUGCCAGCUGCAGGACCAUUUUGAAAUGUGACAUUUAAUUUGGCAAAUUGUGGAAUGGUUCGUUUCUGUGUCUGACUCAUUGCCAGACCUGUCAACGAUUCGGAUAACAUUGGACUUUCAGCCUUCCCAUUAAAAAAAAAUUUUGUUGUUGUUGCUUGUUGAAGAAACGGGAUUAGAUUGACAUAAUUAUCGUUUUUUCUUGAAUUCUGUUUACAUCAGUUGGAUGUAGUUUAUUGUAUAUCAUGUGUAAAUACACAUUUUUUAUUUGUGUGUAUUUCCCACAUAUACUGUAAAUCCUAACUAAGCAGCCUCAUGUAGUGCUCAUAAAUGAAAGAUUUACACAAAGUAGCAUCGUGAAUGAAAUUGGAAAAAUAAAGUGUUAAAUGAAAGUAAUUUAUUAAGUUACAAGGAAGGCGUGUCUUUAUCAUCUUCACCUUUCCUCCCCCCAGUAAGGACAUAAAAUAAAAUAUUUUCUGAGCAAGCGUGUGACUUUAAGAAAUAUUAUUUUCUGAAUUUGAUCAGAUUCAUGUUACCAUUUCUUCCUGUUCUUGGGCUUGUAUACACGUCAAAUCUGUGGAAUCUGGAGCCUUGUUCUGUAGACUUGUUGGGUGUAGAAGGUCUGCUGCCCUUUGUAAAAUGCUCGUCAAAAUUUCAUUUUUAUGGUGCCUUUAACCUCAAAAAGCGUGUUAACUCUUUGAGGACACAGUGGACACAUUCGCCCAAUCAGCAGCAAAUCAAAAGUCAGUGAAACGCAAUGUUUUGGAACAUGUCGAACCAUCAUGCACAAAAAGGAAACACAAGUUUACAUAUUUGAAAGUGUGCAUGUUGUUGCAUGCCUUUUAAAACUUCAGAUAAAAAAAACAAAGAAGAAAAA